rnacentral:rRNA from 1 species
UACGUAGGCAGCAAGCGUUGUUCGGAGUUACUGGGCGUAAAGGGUGUGUAGGCGGUUGGAUAAGUGUGGUGUGAAAUCUCCCGGCUUAACUGGGAGGGUGCGGCGAAAACUGGAAUGCUAGAGGAUGGGAGAGGUAAGCGGAAUUCCUGGUGUAGCGGUGAAAUGCGUAGAUAUCAGGAGGAACACCUGUGGUGUAGACAGCUUACUGGACCAUUUCUGACGCUGAGACACGAAAGCGUGGGUAGCAAACAGG